AAUAAACCAAUUAUUUAUUUUUUACCUUCAAUUUUCGACUUUUCGUCUCAUUCAAAUUUAUUUUGCGAUUGAAGUUUUUGUUUUUAUUAGAUGAUAAAUCAUGAAUAGUACUUUACGUGUGAUUAAUUUUUUUUCUAAUUUUCUGAAAAUUUUUCAAAUAAAACGGAUGGUUAAACAUUGACCACGGAAACCGAAGAAUUCGUUCUUU
rnacentral:pre_miRNA from 1 species